AGGAUGAACGCUGGCGGCGUGCCUAAUACAUGCAAGUCGAGCGGUAAGGCCCCUUCGGGGGUACACGAGCGGCGGACGGCUGAGUAACACGUAGGAACGUACCCCAAACUGAGGGAUAAGCACCAGAAAUGGUGUCUAAUACCGCAUGUGGUCUUCGGAUUAAAGCUUCGGCGGUUUGGGAACGGCCUGCGCAUGAUUAGCUUGUUGGUGAGGUAAAAGCUUACCAAGGCGACGAUCAUUAGCUGGUCUGAGAGGAUGAUCAGCCAGACUGGGACUGAGAACGGCCCAGACUCCUACGGGAGGCAGCAGUAGGGAAUUUUCCACAAUGGGCGAAAGCCUGAUGGAGCAACGCCGCGUGCAGGACGAAGGCCUUCGGGUUGUAAACCGUCUUUAGUAGGAAGAAGCGAUGUGCUUGUCACAUCAUGACGGUACCUGCAGAAAAGCACCGGCUAACUACGUGCCAGCAGCCGCGGUAA
rnacentral:rRNA from 1 species